rnacentral:rRNA from 1 species
UAGCUUGUUGUAUUUUUAUAACAGGUGUUUUCUGCCCGGUGAUUUUUAAACGGCCGCGGUAUCUUGACCGUGCAAAGGUAGCAUAAUCAUUUGUCCUUUGAUUGGGGGCUGGAAUGAAUGGGAGUACGAGAUCUCUUCUGUCUCUUCUUUUGUGUUGGAAUUUGCUAUUUUUGUGAAGAAGCAAGAAUUUUUAAAAGGGACAAGAAGACCCUAUUAAGCUUUAUUUUUAAAAUUUGCAAUUGGUGGGCCUUUGAUUUUGGUAUCUCGUUGUUUUUGAAGAAUUUGGUUGGGGUGACCAAAGAAGAUUAAAUCUUCUUUGAAGAAAAAAACAGUGGGUUUAAUAUCGGGCCAAUGUUGUUUUGAUGAAAAGAACAAGUUACUAUAGGGAUAACAGCGUAAUUUUUUCGGAGAGUUCUUAUUGAAGAAGAAGAUUGCGACCUCGAUGUUGACUUGUCGUUUCCUAGCUUUAGGUGUAGCUGCUGGUAGGGUUGGUCUGUUCGACCAUUAAAAUGAC